AAAAGUUACAGAAUAUCAUUAUAUUUUAGGUUUUACCUGUGCUCUCCAGAAAGAAAUUCUUUAUCAAGGAAAGCUGUUCCUUUCUGAAAACUGGAUUUGCUUCCAUUCCAAGGUUUUUGGUAAAGACACUAAGAUCAGCAUACCCGUGCUCUCAGUGACACUUCUGAAGAAAAC